CAGAGGGGUACGGUACGUGGAAGAGCCGGGAUUCGAACCCGGACAUCUGACCUACGUCCCUUCACUGCGGGCUCGUGACGCUACACUUGUCAGUCCACGAGUGCCAAACACGUGGCACACGGCGACACUCAAAACAGAGCAGCCGGCUGUGGAAGGCCACUGAACGGAGCAGCGUUUUGGUUUUCCCUCCGGAGGGAAAUGGGGACGGAGCAGCGCCCUGGACUGGGCCCGGCCAGUGACUACUCUUCGGCAGACACCCAGGUCUCAGCUGUGCACCAGUCCAGCUUUGGCGUCCCACGUCGACGAGUCAGUCCCCUGACCAGUGUGACGCAAAAUGACUGGGUGCUGUGGUGAUAGGUGACAGAUGCCGACUCUGACCACAGAGGAAAUUCACUGGAAGGAUGCGAGUCCCUUGCAAAAGAAAAGGGGAAAGUUGAGGAACUUCUGUCUGAAAAGGGCGGGAACCAGGGAGGCGUCGGGGACCCAGAAGCAGGAACCAGUUGACAGUCUCAUGCAGCCACAGGAGCGGCUUGUUUCAGCCCCGCCUCUCCUCUGCUUUUGCUUCCUCCAUGCAAGGGCCAGAGGCCCAGGAAAGGGACCUAUGUGGCCCCAGGGCGCCCCCACCCCGGGGAGGACAGACGGAGUUUCUGACUCCCAGAGUCAUCGGAACUUGGGAAGUGGAGGCAGGACAGAGAAAAGGCUCAUGGAUCUCCCCAGCUCUGUCGGGAGAAGGAGCUCUCUGCUGCCCGUUCCCUGGGAGACCCUCUCCACAGUUCCCUAGAGCCGCUUCCAUCAAGAUGGAGACUCAUAAACUCUGGGUCUCGGACACCGUCGGGAGGGCUUCAUGGCAGUUUCUGGGAGUUGCUGGACCCCCUUCUACAGGCCCCGCUCUAGGAGUCUCUGUCCCCUCUGUCCAGCAUCUGCCUGGCUCCGAAGCAGGUCCCAUAUACGGCAUCUCCGGGGACCUGCAGUUUAACCAUUUCACACCCCCUGCCACGUGGGUAACACAAGCAGGGCCCUAGAUCUCAUCUUAAUCUUGCCAUUUUGUUUUCUAAAAGGGUAAGACACUAUUUUCGUCACUGUUUUGCAGGGAGAAAGAGUCCUGUUUGUCCUCAUGAUUCAUUUUGGUGGGUUUUGGACGGCGUUGUACUGAUUCACGGCGACUCAGCCAGCAUCUGGUCUGAAUUAAACGGGACUUUCUCUCGGUGACAGUAAACUCUUCAACAAGGUGCACAUGAACACGAGGCCUGGUGGGAAGGCCGGGGCUUGAGCAAUCUGUGCGGCCUGAGUCAGUUCAGCCAGAUGCUGCGCCGUCCCAGAGCCCUUCGCGAAACCCGACAGGGGCUGCAGCCUGGCGCUGCAUGACACAGCGUCUGCUCCUCACAACCAGGCCCAUGACUCCUUCCUGGCGGGUCAAACCGCUCCCCACAACGCACCAUUUCAUCCUUUAGCCACGAGCCUGGUUAGACGCCCAGGGAACAGGGGCAGGAACCUGUCAUGGAUGUUGCACCAGGAGCUGGGUUUUCUCUGGUUCGUUCCAGGAAAUUUUCCACGGAAUCCCAGGGACCACCCAGUGGUUCUUAAUGGGGGCCAGUGAUUCGGCAUGUGGCAAUGCCCAGAGAUGUUUUUUGGCUGUUGCAGCUGGAAGGGUGCUAGGGGCAUCUGGUGUGUAGAAGCCCAGGAGGCUGCUAAACACCCCACUGUCCGCACAACAGGCCCCACAGUGAAGAAUCUUCUAGUCCAAGAUGGUGCCCAGGUUGAGAAACUGCUCUACUAUAAACCGAUCCCAAACUGCAAGUGACUUGAAGGUUUGAGGUCAUUCAUUGACUUCGUGAAAAGGAUGGUAGACAUGGUAGAAACAGAUCUUCUGGAAAUCCUGUCAUUUCUGUGCUUACAAGGGGAUCAUGUCUUGUCUAUGUCCUUACAAACCAUUCUCCACGGAGAGGACCCCAGGCUCCUGAGAAACAGCCCAUCUGGGCUGGGACUGAUGCGUGAGGAAGGUCUCGGAGACUGCGGGCCUGGAAUCACAGGAGUUAUAGGAGCUAACCGGAAGGGACUCUCUCUGGCCAAAUAUGGGCUGAUUUGAGCAUCAAAAAGAAACACGCUAAUAUGGUAAAAUCCCUAUCCGGAACUUGAAAGAGAAGCCUGUGGUUGAAAGAUGAAAAGCUAUUUCGGAACCAUGUGGCUUUGACAGGUGUCCUUUAUUUAACAACAAAAAGUUGGUUCCACUGCCUCUUAAACCUCAACACUCUCAUUUCCCUUUAGUGUUAUUGACUGUGAAGGAAAAGAAGUUUGUAACAUCUCCGCUGGACUCCUGGAAAAGGAGCGGGGCGGGGGGCGGGGGAGAGUCCCCGGCGAUGGCGGCGGUCACCGCACAACCAUGACCCCACCCGGCUGCAGCUCUCAUGCGGGGGAGAGAGGGGAAGGGAGAGUAACGUGUCAGCAGGACACUGCAGACCAGACAGACAUGUCUGUGGAACAGUGUUUCAGUCGGAAUCUUCCUUUCGUAACCGAAAACCCAACCCAGAAAGAAGAGUGUGGAAAUGAGUUUCUAGGCCCAAGGCACCACGUCAACGGCCCAAACUUUCCUUUUCCGGUAAACGCUCCGCUUGGCAGAAACGCACUGUAUCUCGUCAGCCCACCCCCGCAGCGCGAAGCCAUCUCCCGGCUCUAGGCUCGUUUCCUUGUUCCUUAAUCUUUGUCCAGAAGGUCACACUCGCAGUCCGGCCACUCACUCAGAUUCGACGUUACUGCUGCCUCCGCUCUGACUCCCUCGGGCCCCAGGUCCCUGGGGAAGAGCGCCCCCUGCCUGCCAGUCCGUGGAGGGAAGGACAUCAAGCCUGUUACCAAAUCGCUGUAGUUUGUCACUUGGUGUGAGUUCAAAUAAUAAAAGGACGUUACUGCAUCACAUACUCACGAAGCCCAGACAGACCUACUCACAGCACGGUCACGGUCACGGGCUGGCACACGCCCAGCGGCUCGCUCCUCACUGCUCCGCAAUGAGCUGCAGCGACUACCUUGUGGAAACAGCCAUGGGCCUGACCACCUUUCUUCAAACUUGCUUCCCGCCAUUGUUGACAAAGACUAAUGGCGACCCCUGGUUGAAGGGGCAACAGAAGUACCACUCCUUAUACGGAAAACCACUAGAAGCCACAUGGUUCACUUUUCCUGCAUAUGACAAGAGUAUUGGGCAAUAAGAUAACAGAAACAUAAAACUGGAAACAAAAAACCAAAACUGCCUUUAUCACAGUCUGAGAAACACCAGGCUGGCCUGGGGAUUCCCAAUCCCGGCUGCCCAUUGCAGCACCAGCUGAGCGGUAGCAACUGCUGUGCAGUAACAUCAUUCCCAGAGACACCGACUAAAGUGGCCUAGGGAGGGCCCCAGGCGCGGGGAGUUUGAGAAACUCUCCAGGUAGUUGGAAUGAGCUGAAAGUUGGUGGCCUGGGUUCAGACUGGCCUCGGGGGAGACUCGGUCCUGUGGUCGGGAAUCUGCUCAAGGAGCUGAGUCUGCAGAGCGCUGAAUGCUCACAUUAGGAAAGAAGAACAGUCUGACAUCAGUGACCUCGGCCUCUGCCUUAAAAACUAGAAAAAGAUGAGUAAAUCAAGUCCAAAGGAAACAAGCAAAAGGAAAUAAGAUCGAAGAGGAAUGGAAUGAAAUAGAAAACAGAACCAUAGAGAAAAAUCAACAAAACUGAUAGCUGCUUCUUUGAGAAAAAUCAGUGAAAUUAGUAAGAGCCAGGCUGGUUAGGAAAAUAAUGAAGAAAGUAGAAAUGACCAAUACAAAGAAUGAGAGAAGGGUCAGGGCACAGGCCGGGUUACGAGCCAGGUCCCUGCUGAGGGCGUGAGAGGCAGCCACACACUGGUGUUUCUCUCCUUCUCUCCCUCCCUUCCCCUCUCUCUAGAAAUACAUAAAUUAAAUCUGUAAGAAAAAAAGAAUGAAAGAGGGUACAUCAUUAUAGAUUCCACAGAUGUUAAAAGGAUAACAAGGAAAUAUUAUAAGCAAGUUUAUGCAAAUAAAUUUGAUAACUUAGAUGAAAUUCACAAUUCCUUGAAAGGCUCAAACUAUUACAUGUUGGGAACCGCUCUGCCUGGUUUCAGGAGUUGUAACUACCCCCCAUGGAUAAGGCUGAGUGAGCGACCUCUGGAACACGAGCCACUGAGGAAACAAAGCUUGUCUCUGGCAGCAAAUGCUGCUUCUGCUUACUCCCCUGCCCCCAAUGCAUAGUUGGAUAGUCAGAGAUGGGUACGACCCCUCGGAGGAGGGGCAACCUAAGGCAGACAUAAUCACUUGGGAGGUCAUCAUGGAAGGACUCGGGGGGGCUGCAACAAAGAGGGAGUAAUGGACCCUCGCGCUCCCCUCCUGCUUUGACAAAGCCUGAGUCACCAUGCCCUCUGGGAGAAGCGCUUCCUGGCUCAAAUCCACUUAAGCCUGAAAACCUAUGAUGGGGGAGGCGGUGCAGCCCCUCACCGCCUAGAGCGGAAUCCUGGGUGAUUGGGCAUAAGAAAGAAUUCCUAAAAGUCCUGUGAAGCCUGCUUUGCUAAGAGUGUUUUCAUUCAUAUGAUAAGGAUUCCAAGCAGGAAAUGAGUAUGUCUCCCAAAGUUUCUGCAACCCCCCCUUUCCUGACAGACACUGACUCAGACUAAGCCCUCAGAUUUCUUUGAAAUGUUAUCUACUGUUUGAUCAUUGCCGCCCUAUAUUCCUGUGUAUUACAACCCAAUAAAAGCCAUUGAGGAAGGGGCUCCAGGUCCUUCUCCUCUGAGAGAUUGGCCACCUCUC